AGUAACACGUGGGUGAUCUGCCCUGCACUUUGGGAUAAGCCUGGGAAACUAGGUCUAAUACCGGAUAGGACUACGGCCUGCAUGGGUUGUGGUGGAAAGCUUUGCGGUGUGGGAUGGGCCCGCGGCCUAUCAGCUUGUUGGUGGGGGUGAUGGCCUACCAAGGCGACGACGGGUAGCCGGCCUGAGAGGGUGACCGGCCACACUGGGACUGAGAUACGGCCCAGACUCCUACGGGAGGCAGCAGGUGGGGAAUAUUGCACAAUGGGCGCAACGCCUGAUGCAGCGACGCCGCGUGGGGAUGACGGCCUUCGGGUUGUAAACCUCUUUCAGUAGGGACGAAGCGUAAGUGACGGUACCUAUAGAAGAAGCACCGGCCAACUACGUG
rnacentral:rRNA from 1 species